rnacentral:lncRNA from 10 species
CUGCAUCCAAGUCGCUGCCCCCCACGCCCUUCCAACCUCCGUCACAGCUAUUCUCGGCCAGUUUGCGCGGGGACUUGCUGAUCUCCCUUCAGCCGGCCCCGGGGUCUGCGGGAGGGGACUGGGUGGGGAGGGAGACUUAAGGGCGCUGGCGGCUGUCGUUCCGGUCGCUGAGAGUCUGCCCCACAGCUCCAGUUUUUCCAAGUUAAGAGAUAUGGAGAUUUCCACAAGGAUUUGGAGAGGAGCCCCAGUAGUUACUAAAAUUCUGCAUUAGAUCUGUCAGGAAAGCUUCCCCUAACUGAAAGCUGGAUGAUGACCCGAAGGACCAGUGAGACUGCAGCUUCCGGAACUCAUUCACAGCAGUAAUAGUUAUGUCUAGUAUCUUACUCAACUGUUGUUGCUACAUCUACCACAGUGCCUGUCUCAGUCCUUUUGGGCUGCCAUAAGAAAUUACCAAAGACUGAAUGACUUGUAAACAAUAAAUUUAUUUCUCAGAGUUCUGGA